GCCUUCGCCUAGGGGUGCCUGUCCGCAAGGGCAGGCUGAGAGCAGACCCUCCGAACCUGUCCGGAUCAUUCCGACGUAGGAAAGUGCGUGAUACCGACCG
rfam:Porphyromonas sp. HMSC065F10 Porphyromonas_spHMPREF2890-1.0_Cont326.1, whole genome shotgun sequence.